UACGGAAGGCAGCAGUGGGGAAUAUUGCACAAUGGGCGAAAGCCUGAUGCAGCUAUGCCGCGUGUAUGAAGAAGGCCUUAGGGUUGUAAAGUACUUUCAUCGGGGAGGAAAAAACAAAACUAAUAAUUUUAUUUCUUGACGUUACCCGAAAAAGAAGCACCGGCUAACUCUGUGCCAGCAGCCGCGGUAAUACGGAGGGUGCUAGCGUUAAUCAGAAUUACUGGGCGUAAAGAGCACGUAGGUGGUUUUUUUAAGUUCAGAUGUGAAAUCCCUGGGCUUAACCUAGGAACUGCAUUUUGAAACUGAAAUACUAGAGUAUCGUAGAGGGAGGUAGAAUUCUAGGUGUAGCGGUGAAAUGCGUAGAUAUCUGGAGGAAUACCUGUGGCGAAAGCGGCCUCCUAAACGAAUACUGACACUGAGGUGCGAAAGCGUGGGGAGCAAACAGGGAUUAGAUACC
rnacentral:rRNA from 1 species